rnacentral:tRNA from 1 species
UGACCUGUGGUGUAAUUGGCAACACGUCAGACUCUGGCUCUGAAGUUCCGGGUUCGAUUCCUUGCAGGUCAG